UACGUAGGGGGCAAGCGUUGUCCGGAUUUAUUGGGCGUAAAGCGCUCGCAGGUGGUUCGUUGCGUCGUGCGUGAAAGACCCUGGCUCAACUGGGGGAUGUCGUGCGAUACGGGCGGACUGGAGGCCAGUAGGGGGAUGCGGAAUUCCGGGUGUAGUGGUGGAAUGCGUAGAGAUCCGGAGGAACACCAGCGGCGAAGGCGGCAUCCUGGACUGGUCCUGACACUCAUGAGCGAAAGCGUGGGGAGCGAGUCCGG
rnacentral:rRNA from 1 species